GCUUUCCCAUCAAAGCAGCACAAAAAUCACAAAAUCUACUGCCGUGGUAUUAUGUCAUUCCGUUAAUGCAUUUUGACAAUAUUUUAUCUCAACUAAAGUCAUUAUACCAUUAUUGCUUCGUCAUAUUAUGUACCAACAGGCAUGAAAAUAAGGAUACACCCUCACAGCAUUUUAGAUGUUCACUGUUGGAAAUAGACCAACUGAAUUUGUGGAAGCCGAAUCAAGUAUUUGUACAAAAAUAGGAAAGGAAGUGAUUGAAGGAAUAUUAAAUGAUAAGAACUAAUACUGCGAAACAAUCACAAGAAAAUGUUAUAAAUAUUAAAUAUUUUCAUGGAAAAAACUAACAAAUAGAAUAUUACUAAUUUGUAUAAUAAUAAUAAAAAGUGUAACAAGACAAGAAUCAACCAAGUAUAUAGAAACAAUAAAAACUUUGUCAUAUUAUGUACUUCCAACAUGUUAA